CUCCUUGCCCCGGGGAUUACGUUGGGGCAGUUCUGACGCUUUCAGGCGGCUGAAAACUGGAGAUACUUCGAUAAGAUUCGUGUUAAGCACCUGACACACAGACCUCUUGUAUCAACUCUUCCGGUUGCCUAGGUUCGUCUUCUGGAGCUUCGGACACGGAAGGGACCAUCUGUGAUUAACUGAACGGGAAGUGGAGGCAGGAUACAAUCCCAGGCGCUCUGACAGAGGACAACAGCAUCCAAGCGACAGCUUAUCUUGCUGUUCCACAACAGCCACUCCAGAUUGGGAGACUCAACAGCGCUGUAAGCCAGGCCAGUGGCGACAUCCAAGUCUCUGAAUCAGAGUUAAGAAUCCUACCAGCAUCUUCCACUGCUGCACCUGGAACUU